rnacentral:rRNA from 1 species
GGGGGACGAGCAACUGGAUAGCCCCAGUAACGGCGAGUGAAGCGGCUACAGCUCAAAUUUGAAAUCUGGCUCCUUCGGGGUCCGAGUUGUAAUUUGCAGAGGAUGCUUCGGCAUUGGCGGCGGUCUAAGUUCCCUGGAACAGGACAUCGCAGAGGGUGAGAAUCCCGUACGUGGGCGCCUGCCUUUGCCGUGUGAAGCUCCUUCGACGAGUCGAGUUGUUUGGGAAUGCAGCUCUAAAUGGGAGGUAAAUUUCUUCUAAAGCUAAAUAUUGGCCAGAGACCGAUAGCGCACAAGUAGAGUGAUCGAAAGAUGAAAAGUACUUUGGAAAGAGAGUCAAACAGCACGUGAAACUGUUGAAAGGGAAGCGCUUGCAGCCAGACGUGCCCGCAGUUGCUCACCCAGGCUCCGGCCCGGGGCACUCUUCUGCGGGCAGGCCAGCAUCGGUUCGGGCGGUCGGACAAAGGCCUCUGUCAAGUACCUUCCUUCGGGUUGGCCUUAUAGGGGAGGCGCAAUGCGACCAGCCCGGACCGAGGUCCGCGCAUCUGCUAGGAGCCCGGGCGCGCAAUGAAAGUGAACGGAGGUGGGAACCCCUCGGGGCGCACCAUCGACCGAUCCUGAAGUCUUCGGAUGCUGGCGUAAUGGCUGUAAGCGGCCCGUCUUGAAACACGGAUCAAGGAGUCUAACAUCUAUGCGAGUGUUUGGGUGUCAAUGGAUUUGAGUACGAGCAUAGCUGUUGGGACCCGAAAGAUGGUGAACUAUGCUUGGAUAGGGUGAAGCCAGAGGAAACUCUGGUGGAGGCUCGCAGCGGUUCUGACGUGCAAAUCGAUCGUCAAAU